rnacentral:lncRNA from 1 species
ACCGUCGGAAAGAAUCCGAACCGAAACCGCGUUCUUUCGGCGAAUUUCGCCGAAAAACGCACCGAAAUCGACCUACCGAUUUCCGCGAAAGCUAACGGACCAUGGACAAUCAGUCCAGCGAUCAAAACAAACUCCCACACACUGCCCACAGUAGCCACGCAAAGCACAAUUGCAAAAAGACCCUCUAAUUACAUAAAAUAUCAU